rnacentral:lncRNA from 1 species
GCCGUCUUGGUGGCAUGUUUACACUCCGGUUCUAACCUAAAAAACAAACAUGUAUCUUUGAUAGACCAAAAACUUUUAACUUGAUUAAUUACAAUUGUGUCGUGGAAGUAGUCUUUGAUUGUUAAUUUAUCGAAAAUAAGUUAUCAUGCUACAGUUCUUAUCCUGGUGGCUCAGUUCAGUUUGGUUCAGUCCACGUUUUGAACAUUCGGUACCACUAUUGUCACCGUGCAACCUGUCUAUCAAUUGGCAUAAUGAAGAAAAUAUGUUUUGAGAUUUUUGGAGCGCUUCCUACACUUCAGCCUGCUCCUCUUUAUUCUGGAUUCAGAAAGCGGCUACUAUCCUAUGACAUGGCUCUCAGUUUCUCAUCUGAGCAGUCAAGCGAUAGGAAAUUAGCAGCAACUAAAAAUCAUCUGGUUUUGAGAAAUUCACCAUGAGUCGCCUCAAAACAAAAUCAUCACAAGAAGUUGUAGUGUGUUCAGAGUAAAUGAGCAUAUACCUAGUUCUCCUAACAUUUUUAUGUCUGACCAGAAAUUAUCUAAGAAAUUUAAAGUGGCAUGAAGUUCGAAUAGCUACCCCUUACAUUCAUUCCUCUAAUUCUAAAUGAGAAAAUAAAUGAAAGUGAAAGUGCUGUGUUUAAAGUAUCCUAAGUAGCUUCAUCGGUGUUUUUAUUCAGCUUAUAUUUCUGAUGAAGGAUCAACUGAACUUGGUGAGUCGUCACCAUUAUAUUUUCUUCUUGCAUGCAAUUUUGCCACAAGUAACCAUCAACAGCUGAGUCCCCAAAUUUGUUCAUUAAGGUAUUAAAAGAAUACUUUUUACAAAACCCUUUCUACACCUUGCAAGAGUUUUUAAAUUUGUAAGAGUACUCUUUUUUGUAACUUUUUCUAAUGUGACUUGUAUUGAGCCUUUCUGUUGAGGCUAAUGUACUAAUUUUUACAAAUAGCAAAAUAACAGAUUAUGUAAAAUGCAAAAGUGCCCUCGAAAUUGAAUAAAUUCUGCAUUUUUUUCUGAGUUUGUUGGCUCCUUAAGCCUGAAUGAUGUACUUACGUUUUUAUUUUGUUUUACCAGCAUUUAUUUGUGUGUACAUUGUCAUGAAGCGCACCUCAACUAUUUCAGGUGUCAAGGAAAGGCUUUCUUU